UACGGAGGGUGCAAGCGUUGCUCGGAAUUAUUGGGCGUAAAGGGUAGGUAGGUGGUCUUAUUUGUCUGGGGUGAAAGCCUUGAGCUUAACUCAAGAAGUGCCCCAGAAACGGUGAGACUAGAGUCUUGGAGAGGGUCGUGGAAUUCCCGGUGUAGCGGUGAAAUGCGUAGAGAUCGGGAGGAACACCAGAGGCGAAGGCGGGUCUCUGGGCCGUAACUGACGCUGAGGAGCGAAAGCGUGGGGAGCGAACAGG
rnacentral:rRNA from 1 species